UAGGGAAUCUUCGGCAAUGGACGAAAGUCUGACCGAGCAACGCCGCGUGAGUGAAGAAGGUUUUCGGAUCGUAAAACUCUGUUGUUAGAGAAGAACAAGGACGUUAGUAACUGAACGUCCCCUGACGGUAUCUAACCAGAAAGCCACGGCUAACUACGUGCCAGCAGCCGCGGUAAUACGUAGGUGGCAAGCGUUGUCCGGAUUUAUUGGGCGUAAAGCGAGCGCAGGCGGUUUCUUAAGUCUGAUGUGAAAGCCCCCGGCUCAACCGGGGAGGGUCAUUGGAAACUGGGAGACUUGAGUGCAGAAGAGGAGGGUGGAAUUCCAUGUGCAGCGGUGAAAUGCGUAGAUAUAUGGAGGAACACCAGUGGCGAAGGCGGCUCUCUGGUCUGUAACUGACGCUGAGGCUCGAAAGCGUGGGGAGCAAACAGG
rnacentral:rRNA from 1 species